UACGUAGGGUGCGAGCGUUGUCCGGAAUCAUUGGGCGUAAAGCGCACGUAGGCGGUUCGGUAAGUCGGAUGUGAAAUCCCUCGGCUUAACCGAGGAAGUGCAUCCGAAACUGCCGAGCUUGAGUACGGAAGAGGGUCUCGGAAUUCCCGGUGUAGAGGUGAAAUUCGUAGAUAUCGGGAGGAACACCAGUGGCGAAGGCGGAGACCUGGGCCGAUACUGACGCUGAGGUGCGAAAGCGUGGGGAGCAAACAGG
rnacentral:rRNA from 1 species